UCUGCCCAUGCCCGGUGCGGGCGGAGCUUCGUACGCUCCGGAUCCGACGAGCGCACGAGCACCGUGUGCAGCUGCGCGGCGAGCAGAG
rnacentral:tRNA from 1 species